rnacentral:rRNA from 1 species
CCCUCAUUCGGCUCCUCGCCUGGUCAUCCGUAUGGGAAACUAGCUCGACCUUCACUGGUCGGCUAGUGGAUCAUACACUUUACUUUGAAAAAAUUUUAGUGUUUCACGCGCGCGAUUGCUUGUAUACUGUGUCACGGAAUAAUGGAAUAUGACUUUUACCUAUUUGUUGGUUUCUCUAGGUCAAAGUAAUGAUAAAAAGGGACACUUGGGGGCAUUCUUAUUUUAUUGUCACAGGUGAAAUUCUUGGAUUUUUUAAAGACAAAAUUAUGCGAAAGCAUUUGCCACGGAUGUUUUCUUUUAUCAAGAACGAAAGUUAGGGGAUCAAAGACGAUCAGACACCGUCCUUGUCUUAACCAUAAAAUACACCGACUAGGGAGUGGUGAUGUCUUUAAAGCCUUAUCAGCACCUUGUGAGAAAUCAAUGUCUUUGGUUUGUGGGGGGAGUAUGGUCGCAAGGGUGAAACUUAAAGGAAUUGAGGGAAGGGCCCCCCCGGGAGGGGCGCCUGGGGUUUAAUUUGACUCAACACGGGGAAACUUCCCAGGUCCAGACAUAGUUAGGAUUGACAGAUUGAGAGCUCUUUCUUGAUUCUAUGGGUGGUGGUGCAUGGCCGUUCUUAGUUGGUGGAGUGAUUUGUCUGGUUAAUUCCGUUAACGAAGGCGACCUCAACCUGCUAAGUAGUCACCUUUAUGUAAAUAGGGGUCUGACUUGUUAGAGGGACUUUAUG